rnacentral:sRNA from 1 species
UAAUAGCCCUGAUCGCAGUGGAAAUCCUCUGUUGACGGGCAUCCGGCAACAGAGAUUGCAACGGAGAGCAGGACGGGAA